GUCAUUGGUGUGUUUCCUGAUUGUGUCCAGGUGUCUUUAUAUAACCUGCUGUGCUCUAGUCUCGUCAACGUUACCGUCUUGUUUUCGGAUAGUUUCUCAAUUCAUCCGUCCAUUUUCCAUACCACUUAUCUUACACAAGGUCGUGGGGAACCUAUCUCAGGGAUCUCGGGGAAUGACGGGGGUGACACCCUGGACGGGGUGACACCCCAUUGCAGGGCACAAGCUCUCACAAACACGACGGACAAUUUGGAAAUGCCAAUCAGCCUAUAGUUCACGUCUUUGGACUGUGGGAGGAAACCUGGAGGAAACCCAGAGCGGAGGUGGGAUUCGAAACCCAAACCCCAGAGGUACUGGAGUCCUACUGGAAGCACUGACGGUCCAAAUUACAGAAAAUCAUGUCAGGAGUCUCCAUGCCAAUGGGGCGUUGAGGUUUGGAACAGCUUGCUCUUUCAUCAUUUUGGUUGAGGAAAACGCUAUUUGGGCAUUUGCACAUGAAUCUAAAGUGAAAGGCUUCACCACAAGUGGUGGUUUGAUGGUUAAGGCUCUGGGUUGCUGAUCAGAAGGUCGGGGGUGGGUUCAAGCCCCAGCACUGCCAA